UCUGAUCUGAGGUUUAGCCCAGCUCAGCUGCCAGCCUCACCCUUGUAUCCCUCUAGCUUUCUAUUCUUGGCUCAAUUAUUGUCAUGCAAAUGGCUCCUUCCCAUGCCACCUUCCUGUCUCAUUAUGAUCUUUGUCUCGGGACUUCGGCCCUGGAAUUUCAAUGCCUCCUAGACCGAGCUGGGCACCAGGAAUGCUGCCUCCCCCUGCUGGCUUCCCUCCCUCCCGCCUGAUUUCCUUUGGAGAUUCUAGAGGGCCAAGCUAAGAACUUGGCACUCUGCCCAGGGAGAAGAAAUUAUCCGGAACAAAUGGAAAAGACAGAGAGGUGGAGCUUUGUCCUGAGGCACAGAGAGGGGACCAGGCACCAGCCCGGGGCAUGGAAGGCCCUGUAGGGAAUGCGCCCUCUGUGCCAGGCAGUGUGCUAACCAAAGACAUUACGGCUUAUGGAGGUUACGACUCACCCGAAGCCACACGCCUGGUAAACAUAAGCACCGAGAUGUGAACCUAGGGUCAUCUGCUCCGGAUCCUGUUCCUUUAACCGCUGUGCUGUACUGGGGAUUGGUCAGAACUCAUAAUGAUGAUUCUGAUUUAAAUAGUUUGCUGUUUCAGGGCACCUGGGAGGCUCAGUCGGUUAAGU